rnacentral:rRNA from 1 species
AACGAACGCUGGCGGCAUGCCUAACACAUGCAAGUCGAACGAGACCUUCGGGUCUAGUGGCGCACGGGUGCGUAACGCGUGGGAACCUGCCCUUAGGUUCGGGAUAACUCUCCGACAGGGGUGCUAAUACCGGAAAAUUUCUUCGAACCCAAGAUUUAUCGCCUUUGGGUGGGCCGGCGUUGGUCUAGCUUGUGGGGAGUGUAAGAGCCUAACAAGGCGACGACCCAUAGCUGGUCUGAGAGGAUGAUCAGCCACACUGGGACUGGGACACGGCCCGGACUCCUACGGGAGGCAGGAGUGGGGAAUAUUGGACUAUGGGGGAAAGGCUGAUCCAGCAAUGCCGGGUGAGUGAUGAAGGCCUGAGGGUUGUAAAGCUCUUUUAUCCGGGACGAUAAUGACAGUACCGGGAGAAUAAGCUCCGGCUAACUCCGUG